GAAGCAAGCCGACUGUCGUUCCGAUUUUAAUCGGGGAGGAAAGUCCGGGCAGUAUAGAGUAACCGUACUUCCUAACGGGAAGGUCGUAUUCCGGAGACAGAAUACGAACAGAAAGUGCCGCAGAAAGGAAAACUACCUCUUCUGAAGUGAUUUGGAAGAGGAAAAGGUGAAAAGGUGAGGUAAGAGCUCACCGUCUUUAUGGCGACAUAAAGUGCAAGGUAAACCUUACGGACUGAAAGACCAUGUAUACCAAGGCUUGAGGGCUGCUCGCUCGAUCUUGGAGGGUAGGUCGAUGGAUUCCGAUCGUGAGGCCGGAACUAGAUAAAUGACAGUCAGUUCUGAUCAGCUAGCCUGAUUGGAAUGUACAGAACCCGGCUUAUGGCUUGCUUCUUUU
rnacentral:RNase_P_RNA from 4 species